rfam:Acinetobacter haemolyticus CIP 64.3 genomic scaffold acLrj-supercont1.12, whole genome shotgun sequence.
UGUCGGAGUAGAAGCGUUCAGCAUAUAUCAAAACAAUAUAUGUGGGUCAUUGCUCAGAAA